rnacentral:lncRNA from 1 species
AAAGGUGAAAAAGUUAUUACUAUAAAUUAAGCAACCGUUUAUUCCCGAGAAAACCCGAUGGCCUUUCUUUAAAAAUCAAUUCCUCCCAUGUCAGUUUCUCCUCACCAUACAUCAUCCCUAUCUCUGUAUUUAUACAAUUCACACAGGUUAUAAGAACAUUUUCUGUCUACUCUUUCCCUGCGAAAUUAAGGUAUAGCCAUUUCUUUCUCUCUAUCUAUGUACACUUUCUAUUUUCUCUAUUUUUAUUUGCUUCACUAUUUUUUCUUGUAAUAAUUUCUUAUUUCUCUAUAUUUCGAUAAUUUUAUACAUAAUUCCAGAUUCAUAUAGAAAUGAACUUUCAAUUGCUCAGCAUAUUGCAUUGGCAACAAAGAGAUUUGAGAUAUUGUUGAAUGUUAUUGUUUAUUAAAUUUUGAAAGUCAAUGGCAAAGCGUAGACAACCAUGAUUCUCCCUGAUUCUAUUAAUAACACUCUUUACUAUAUAUUUUCACCACCUUAAUUUUACUUAAUGAUAUUAUCAAACUUUUCUAGCAAUUGUAAUCUUUAAAAGCAGACUUCAAAAAAACUAUUACGUAAUAAGUUUUUAUCUCCUUUGGUUGCUUUCUUCCCUUCAUUUUUUUUCUCUUUGGGUUUAGUAGUUAAUAAUGUAUGACUAUCUCUUUAAUAAUUAGGUGAUUUUUUCCUUUUAAAUGCUUUAUCAUCUUUCUUUUUUGAUUACUUAUUUUGGGUUAAGAGUGUUCUUGAAGACUUUAUUUCUUUGUAAAGUAAGGAAAUAUGCAGUAAUCUAAAUUAGAUAUCUUAUACUAAUUGAUUUUUCAGUACAAAAAUUAUGUAGAAAAGAAGGAAAUUUGACCCAGAAAAAGGAAAUGAUUUGACUGAUUAGAUUACAGUAAUCAUCUACGAUUAUGCAUUGUUCUAUAAGAUUGAAGUCGUGGACACCUCUAAGCUUUGACUUCCCUUUACAUAUUUGGCACAUGAAUUGGAAUUCUCGGUUAAAGUAGGUUGGUGGUGUUGCAUUGGUGUAAUGCAAAAGGAAUCAAAAGAGUGAAGAAAAUCAGAAAAGGAACGAGAGAGAGAAAAAUACUGUGUAAUGGUGUAAUGGUUAGAACGUGACUUAUUUUUGCUUUUCUCACUCUUAUAGCAAUGCUUAAUGUUGUUAAUUUGGAACUAAGAUCAAAUUGGUUUUGAUAGUUGUUUGGUGUAGUCUACAAUAGAUGUUGUAUUAAUACGAAAGUUUCCAACAAUCAAAAAUCAGGGGAUUUAAUCACAUAUUAAUAUAUCAAUGACAUGUUACACUUAAUUGAUCUUUUUUCUAAUAUUGUUUCCUUUUUUUUUCAAUUUUAAUUCAGAGAAAUAAAAAAAUGUGACCUUUCUGAAAUAUAAAUGUCAACGAGUCUCUACUUAGAAACAACCUACUACGAAAACGGCCUUAAAAAGCAAAGGAAACAGUUUUAACAUUGCCAUUUUUUCUCCUUUUUUAUUAAAUUUAUUUUUAAUAUUCCAUUAUUUUAUUCAAGUUUAAAUUUAUUAAUUUCUUAAAUUGAUCAUUUCAUAUUUAACCUUAAAUAUUUCUGAUAGAUUCUCUUUUAUAAAAGCUAUAAUAUUUGAUUAGUAAGGAUUAAUAUUCUUUUAUAAAAGUAAUAACAUAGUAUACAAUUUCAUUUUAUUUUAUUUUCUUUAGAAUACAAUUUCAUUUUGUUUUCUCUUCCAACCGCGCGAAGCGCGGUCAAGUUCUUGAAUACGAGGUAGGAGUGUGUGUCAAGUGAGGCGUCAAGUGUAUGUAUUAUUGAUGCUUCUAAUUGGAGAAGUGUCGAAAGUUGUUUUUUUGUCUGUUUUUUUGGUGGUGUUCUUUUACUACUAUGCUUAAUGGUGUAGGAAAACAUGACUCAUGUGUUUAUUAUGAAAAUAUAUAGAUUUGUUCAUUACAUAUGUGUAUACGGUCAAAACCGGUUAGUCCUUCGUACGAACUGGUUUAAAUCGUAAUGCAUUGGAUCGAAGAGCGUCUUCAUAAUAUCAGGUUGAGGUCCGAAGUCAGGUCACCAAGCUUCAAGCCCUAGGGACCGAUCACUGUCGAGCUCGAUAUCAUUAUCGAGCUCGAAUCCAAAUCGAACUAUGAUGCAAAGUGAAGUUAUCGAGCUUAUGAGGCAGAAACCGAUCAACACUGACCCCGAAUCAAUACAAGGACCCGAGUCAGAAUCGAGAUCGAGUCAAGAUCGAGAGCUCGAGUCAAUAUCGAGCUCAUAGACAAGAGCCGUUGCAAUCGCACUAGAGGAGAGAAUCAUGGUAGGAAUUAUGGAAAAGCUGAUUUAUCAUUGGUCUUCCAUUAUGUAUUUUUAAUUAUAUCUGAAGUAGGAUCCCUCCACUAUAAACGGGAUGGUUAUUAUUUUUGUAAGACCAAGUUUUUGCAUACAUUGUAACUGAGAUAUCAUACACUCAUAUAUUGAAGAGUUAUCCUUUUUU